CUCACAUACGGAGCCAGAUAAUCACACACAAAGCAUACAAUACUCAAGAUAAGGACAGAGUUACCCUCCUUCUUCGCGACCGGAGAAGAUCGGCCUUAAAUCAACAGAGAAAACCCUAGGUACAAAACCCUAGGUACAACCGUCGAAAACUUUACUGGAAAUAUGGUCAGGGAUGUCGAAAAGUCACCCAAAACAUCCACUGAGUGAGGAUCGAGCAACCGGAUAGCAGUUAAACCAUAGGUUCAACCACCAGAAACCCUAGAAGCUGGUAAGUCACCGAAAAAUCACCCAAAAAUCACCAGAAAAUCUCCCAGAACGUUCGAGUGAAGGAAAUUUAUUCAGCUUCAGUAGAAGAUAAAAAUCACCGGAAAAUCUCCCAGAAUGUUCGAGUGAAGAAGAUAUACGCAGAUAUCACGAUGAAAGUCUCAGAAAAGCAUCCGAUUUAGAUCGGAAUCGUCAUCGCCCACAUACGUCAGAAACACCCCCAAAAAUCUCAAAGGAAACUUCAACGAAGAUAACAAGAUGCAGAAAAACUUAGUCGGAUCAUCGUCUAGGCUCUGAUACCAUGAAAACAUUAAGACUAAACUGAAGAAUCAUGAAGAAUAUAGUGAGAGAAACAAGAGAGAGAAGGAGGUAGUUGAGAGAAGGAUCGAGAAGAUCCAGAGAGAUUUUUAUUAAAGCAAAUGAAG
rnacentral:lncRNA from 1 species